CCAAGUUGUAUGAGGCCAUCCUUAUGAGUCGAUCCCUCAGGGCAAGAGAAAUACCCGAGCAUUCCUUCAUUUUUCUGACAAUCAUAGUUUAUUGUAAUUUCUGCAAAACCUUGAGCAUAUUCAAAUAGUUGGGAAUUGAAGUUGAGAUGUAGAUCACGAUGCCCACAAUCUUCCACCCUAUCAUCUCCCCAGAAAGGGUAGUGAAUGUUCGUGAUAUUCCCACAAGUGAAUCGUUUGCUGCAGCUAUUGAACAAAUCCAAGCUCCAACAUGGAGGAAACUAGAUGAUAAAUAACAGCAAAGAAAAUUGAAGAAGAAGAAGAAAAGGAGUCGAGGAGGAAAGCCGGGAAUUCAUUUCCAGAAAGUAGAGGUUUAGGUGGAGAAAAUGAAGUCUUCGUGAAUUAAAAUGAGUGGUAGAUCCAACAAAGAUUUGACGUUUAGUUGACUCAAACGUAUUCAUAAUUGCGAGUCCUCUGCUACUCUGUUUUUACUUUUCUUUAUUUGUGUUUGUUUUUCUCUCCAUUGUGGCUAUAAUUACAGCGAAAACCAUAAAGAUUACCGUAAUUUGGUCCUUGUAUCAAUUUG